AAUACUGCAAAGUUUGGGAUCCACAGUCUACAAAACCCCACAUCCCCUGAGAAUUCUCUCGCCUGCCUUAGGCACUUAGGCUCCGGGAGAUUGCAAAUAACCUGCUUUCUUUCUGUUCCCGGGCUGCGUUCGGACUCCUGUCAGAUAGUAAAUCCUAAGUAAGGUGGCGUCGGACCCCUGUCAGAGAGUAAAUCUCAAGUAAGGUACCUGCCAUCGGCAGAUUUGAGCUUUCUUCUUGGACACCUAAUACCCACAGUCCUCCAGGCUCCGGUAGACUGCAAAUGACCUGCUUUCUUUCUGUUCCCGGGCUGCGUUUGGACCCCUGUCGGAUAGUAAAUCCCAAGUAAGGUACCUGCCCUCGGCAGAUUUGAGCUUUCUUCUUGGACACCUAAUACCCACAGUCCCCCAGGCUCCGGUAGACUGCAAAUGACCUGCUUUCUUUCUGUUCCCGGGCUGCGUUUGGACCCCUGUCGGACAGUAAAUCCCAAGUAAGGUACCUGCCCUCGGCAGAUUUGAGCUUUCUUCUUGGACACCUAAUACCCACAGUCCUCCAGGAUAACUUCAGGAAGUGGGUAUUAAUUCUCACGGUAUAAGUGAAGACAUUAAGCACCAGAGUUUAAGUAGCUUGAUCCACUGAAAGAGAUUCAACUGUGUGGAACCUAUGCCGUGGAGAAUUGCUUUCUGCCAUUGUUAUCGUCCAGCAGUUGCCGAAUAGCUCUGACCUGAGCAAAGCAGUGAAACGCGGUGCUGUUGAGUGGGUUGCCACUGCACCUUUUUCAACUACUCUAGUCUUGUGGAGAAAAUACCCCUUCUAAAUUUUUUCUUCAUUGAAUACUCUCCCUCAGCUCCAGAGUACCAUAUAGAGUUUUCUUGUAUUUUAGAGUUACUGUUUUAUCAAAGUUUACCAGUCUUUUGUAUUACAUUUCUCCUGUCUAAAUCGACUGUGUGGUUUCUACUCAUUAUGGAUAUAGAUUGAUACAAACUCAAUAAAUAUUUUUGAAUGAAUAA
rnacentral:lncRNA from 1 species